rnacentral:rRNA from 1 species
UGGGGAAUAUUGGACAAUGGGCGCAAGCCUGAUCCAGCCAUGCCGCGUGGGUGAAGAAGGCCCUAGGGUUGUAAACCCCUUUCAGCGGGGAAGAUAAUGACGGUACCCGCAGAAGAAGCCCCGGCUAACUCCGUGCCAGCAGCCGCGGUGAUACGGAGGGGGCUAGCGUUGUUCGGAAUUACUGGGCGUAAAGCGCGCGUAGGCGGACCUGCAAGUCGGGGGUGAAAGCCCGAGGCUCAACCUCGGAACUGCCUUCGAUACUGCGGGUCUCGAGUCCGGGAGAGGUGAGUGGAAUUCCUAGUGUAGAGGUGAAAUUCGUAGAUAUUAGGAAGAACACCAGUGGCGAAGGCGGCUCACUGGCCCGGUAUGACGCUGAGGCGCGAAAGCGUGGGGAGCAAACAGGAUUAGAUACCCUGGUAGUCCACGCCGUAAACUAUGGGUGCUAGCCGUCGGUCGGCAUGCCGGUCGGUGGCGCAGCCAACGCAUUAAGCACCCCGCCUGGGGAGUACGGUCG